GACGAACGCUGGCGGCGUGCCUAAUACAUGCAAGUAGAACGCUGAAGAGAGGAGCUUGCUCUUCUUGGAUGAGUUGCGAACGGGUGAGUAACGCGUAGGUAACCUGCCUUGUAGCGGGGGAUAACUAUUGGAAACGAUAGCUAAUACCGCAUAACAAUGGAUGACACAUGUCAUUUAUUUGAAAGGGGCAAUUGCUCCACUACAAGAUGGACCUGCGUUGUAUUAGCUAGUAGGUGAGGUAAUGGCUCACCUAGGCGACGAUACAUAGCCGACCUGAGAGGGUGAUCGGCCACACUGGGACUGAGACACGGCCCAGACUCCUACGGGAGGCAGCAGUAGGGAAUCUUCGGCAAUGGGGGCAACCCUGACCGAGCAACGCCGCGUGAGUGAAGAAGGUUUUCGGAUCGUAAAGCUCAGUUGUAAGUCAAGAACGGGUGUGAGAGUGGAAAGUUCACACUGUGACGGUAGCUUACCAGAAAGGGACGGCUAACUACGUG
rnacentral:rRNA from 1 species